rnacentral:rRNA from 1 species
UACGUAGGGGGCAAGCGUUGUCCGGAAUCAUUGGGCGUAAAGCGCGUGUAGGCGGUUCGAUAAGUCUGCUGUGAAAGUCCAGGGCUCAACCCUGGAAAGCCGGUGGAUACUGUCAGACUAGAGUGCGGAAGAGGCGAGUGGAAUUCCCGGUGUAGCGGUGAAAUGCGCAGAUAUCGGGAGGAACACCAAUUGCGAAGGCAGCUCGCUGGGACGUUACUGACGGCGUGAGACGCGAAAGCGUGGGGAGCAAACAGG